GCCAGAGUAGUAUAGUGGUUUGAGUGUUAGACUGCAACUCUGUAGACCAGGGUUCAAUUCCCAACUCAGCCA
rnacentral:tRNA from 1 species